rnacentral:rRNA from 1 species
AGUGAACGCUGGCGGUAGGCCUAACACAUGCAAGUCGAACGGCAGCACAGUAAGAGCUUGCUCUUACGGGUGGCGAGUGGCGGACGGGUGAGGAAUACAUCGGAAUCUACUUUUUCGUGGGGGAUAACGUAGGGAAACUUACGCUAAUACCGCAUACGAUCUACGGGUGAAAGCAGGGGAUCUUCGCACCUUGCGCGAUUGAAUGAGCCGAUGUCGGAUUAGCUAGUUGGCGGGGUAAAGGCCCACCAAGGCGACGAUCCGUAGCUGGUCUGAGAGGAUGAUCAGCCACACUGGAACUGAGACACGGUCCAGACUCCUACGGGAGGCAGCAGUGGGGAAUAUUGGACAAUGGGCGCAAGCCUGAUCCAGCCAUACCGCGUGGGUGAAGAAGGCCUUCGGGUUGUAAAGCCCUUUUGUUGGGAAAGAAAAGCAGCAGGUUAAUACCCCGCUGUUCUGACGGUACCCAAAGAAUAAGCACCGGCUAACUUCGUG